AAGGGGGAGCUUGUUUUACAGGCUGAGAGGAAGUUGGAAACUUCGACCCAUAACCUGAUGUGGAUAAUGCCAACGAAGGGAUGUGUUAUAG
rnacentral:ncRNA from 1 species